AAGUCGUAACAAGGUUUCCGUAGGUGAACCUGCGGAAGGAUCAUUACAAAUUGGGGGGGUGGGGGUUAAAGGGCUUUUACUCGGAAGAGCACACUUGCUCAGAAGAGUACGGCUCUCUGCCUACCACUGACCACACUAGCACGGGAGCGUCCUGUCUAGACAGGCGCCCCAUGUUCACGCUUGUUUGUUUGACAGAGUAACAGAUCGAACCCAACUAUUAGACAACUUUUAACAAUGGAUCUCUUGGCUCUU
rnacentral:misc_RNA from 1 species